AAUCUCAAUCCCCGAGGGUUUUUGUAACCCGCGGAGGACUUGGACUUGGGCGUCUGCCUCCCCAGGCUCGCCUCAAAUGUAUCAGUGGGAUCCGGUGGUCUAUGCCCGACGUAAUAAGUUUCGUCUCGGCCGAUCGCCUGGGCCUGCUCACAACACCCCAUAUUACUUUUGA
rnacentral:misc_RNA from 1 species